UUAUUAAGAUAAUUAAACAAAUAUUAUUCGGCCUUUAAAUCAAAAUUUUUUAAAGCUUUGUUCUAAUGAGUCAAGAGGAAUAGUUUGAGGAACUAAGAAUUCUUUCCCCAAUAUAAUUAUUAAAUACGUGUAUCUCACAAAAAAAUGAAUUACAUGUAAGGAACAUCUUACAGACUAGUGCUAAGUAUGCAUGAAUAUCUGUCCGAAAGAAAAAAUUUACUUAAAAACCCAAUUAAGUUACGAAGCGGCAAUAAUAUUUGUAAAUUUUCAACAAUAUUUCGAAGUGGUUCCAUAUGUUGAAGUUGUUAAGCAGUGAAAACUAGUACUAACACGUACUACAUGUAUUUAGUAAUGGGUCGAUUGAACUACUAAAAAAAUUUAAUUCUCGAUUGUGAGAUUAUUUAACUCAAAAAACAAUGAACUGGAUAUAAAGCGUCACAAUUAAUCUAAACAUUUAGCCAAAACCCAAAUGUGAUGAUACAUUCGAGGACAUGCCAUAUGCCUACUGAUUAUUCUGGUAACGUAAGGUUUUUGGGAAUGUAAUUCCUCCUAAACAUUUCCAUUUCUUCAAUUCCCAAACAGAAUGAUUUACCAACAUUUUAUGGUUUUAUGGUGACAACGGAUAGAGCUGUUCAUACGCUGAUGUGAGGAUGAUUUGACAUGCUAUAUGUCUUUAGGCUACCGAAUAAACUGAAUACCUACAACCUAAGAUAGUUUUGUAACUAACCAAUUUCUACCAACUCACGUCAAUAUAAAAAAUCUUAAACUUUUAAUGAUAACAAAGUUGUAAUUGAAAAAAAUAUUAGAGAAUAUGUAAUAUACACCCCAUACAUAAUGUCUUCUAAUCGAUCUGGUAAUAAGGAAGGUUACUGGAUCAAUUGAAUUUAAAAAUAUAAUAAUGGACUUAUUCGAUUUUUAAUUAUUGGAAAUGGAUGGCUACCGUGUGAUGAGAAAAUUGGGAUUUUACUGGUACAUUUAUUUUGAACGAGUUAAUGCAUAUUUGCGGAGAUUGCCCCAUGAGUGAGGCAUAAAUGUUAUCAGUAAUCAAUCAAAUAAAAAUUGUUGGUUAACAUAAUAUUUAAUAAAUUA